rnacentral:rRNA from 1 species
GAAUGGGACAACCCGUUACCUUGAAGAGGUAACAUCCAUCAAUGAUGGAGGCUAACGCAGGGAACUGAAACAUCUUAGUACCUGCAGGAAAAGAAAAUAACAAUGAUUCCCCCAGUAGUGGCGAGCGAACGGGGAAGAGCCCAAACCAUUCAUGUUACGGCAUGAAUGGGGUUGUAGGACCGCGUUGUUGCAAGAAAUUUUGCGAGAAGAACGAUCUGGAAAGUUCGGCCACAGACGGUGACAGCCCGGUAUUCGAAGCAAGACGAAGCAUAGCGGUAUCCUGAGUAGCGCGGAGUCGACGCGGCCGGGUCGUGGGAGG